rnacentral:rRNA from 1 species
GAUGAACGCUGGCGGCGUGCCUAAUACAUGCAAGUCGAGCGAAUGGAUUAAGAGCUUGCUCUUAUGAAGUUAGCGGCGGACGGGUGAGUAACACGUGGGUAACCUGCCCAUAAGACUGGGAUAACUCCGGGAAACCGGGGCUAAUACCGGGUAACAUUUUGAACCGCAGGGUUCGAAAUUGAAAGGCGGCUUCGGCUGUCACUUAUGGAUGGACCAGCGUCGCAUUAGCUAGUUGGGGAGGGAACGACUCACCAAGGCAACGAUGCGUAGCCGACCUGAGAGGGUGAUCGGCCACACUGGGACCGAGACACGGCCCAGACUCCUACGGGAGGCAGCAGUAGGGAAUCUUCCGCAAUGGACGAAAGUCUGACGGAGCAACGCCGCGUGAGUGAUGAAGGCUUUCGGGUCGUAAAACUCUGUUGUUAGGGAAGAACAAGUGCUAGUUGAAUAAGCUGGCACCUUGACGGUACCUAACCAGAAAGCCACGGCUAACUACGUGCCAGCCGCCGCAGUAA